rnacentral:rRNA from 1 species
UACGUAGGGACCGAGCGUUGUCCGGAUUCAUUGGGCGUAAAGAGCUCGUAGGCGGCUGCUCAAGUCGAAUGUGAAAACUCGAGGCUCAACCUCGAGCCUGCAUUCGAUUCUGGGCGGCUAGAGUCUGGUAGGGGGAUCUGGAAUUCCUGGUGUAGCGGUGGAAUGCGCAGAUAUCAGGAGGAACACCGGUGGCGAAGGCGGGAUCCUGGGCCAGUACUGACGCUGAGGAGCGAAAGCGUGGGGAGCAAACAGG